CUGAAUCAUGCCUCUUGAUCCAUCCAUUCAAAGACACAAAGACAUAAACAAAUAAAAAUAAAUCAGAGGAUUUUUAUAUUAAGAUUCACAAACAAGAAGGAGCACUAUCUAAGACAUGCAUAAUUGAAAGAUUCAAACAUAAAAACAAAUUAACAUAGCUUUACCUUUUGAUUCACGUGAGCAGCAACAGUCGCCGUUUUUCUUCUUCUCGGAGAGCCACCACGAGAGAGAAGUCGCUGUUUUCCUUAGUCAAGGAGAGCUACCGAUAGAGAGGUUACCGUUUUUCUUCGUCGAAGAGAGCCACCGAGAGAGAUGUGGCAUUUUGUCGAGGAGAGCCACCGAAAAGGAGAGAAGUCGCUGUUUCGUCGAGGAGAGGAGAGCAAACAAAAGAGAG
rnacentral:lncRNA from 1 species